UAAGUAACCUGCCCUAGACAGGGGGAUAACUGCUGGAAACGGCAGCUAAGACCGCAUAGGUAUGGACACUGCAUGGUGACCAUAUUAAAAGUGCCAAGGCACUGGUAGAGGAUGGACUUAUGGCGCAUUAGCUGGUUGGUGAGGUAACGGCUCACCAAGGCGACGAUGCGUAGCCGACCUGAGAGGGUGACCGGCCACACUGGGACUGAGACACGGCCCAGACUCCUACGGGAGGCAGCAGUAGGGAAUUUUCGGCAAUGGGGGGAACCCUGACCGAGCAACGCCGCGUGAAGGAAGAAGGAAUUCGUUCUGUAAACUUCUGUUAUAAAGGAAGAACGGCGGAUAUAGGGAAUGAUAUCCGAGUGACGGUACUUUAUGAGAAAGCCACGGCUAACUACGUGCCAGCAGCCGCGGUAAUACGUAGGUGGCGAGCGUUAUCCGGAAUUAUUGGGCGUAAAGAGGGAGCAGGCGGCGGCAGAGGUCUGUGGUGAAAGACUGAAGCUUAACUUCAGUAAGCCAUAGAAACCGGGCUGCUAGAGUGCAGGAGAGGAUCGUGGAAUUCCAUGUGUAGCGGUGAAAUGCGUAGAUAUAUGGAGGAACACCAGUGGCGAAGGCGACGGUCUGGCCUGUAACUGACGCUCAUUCCCGAAAGCGUGGGGAGCAAAUAGGAUUAGAUACCCUAGUAGUCCACGCCGUAAACGAUGAGUACUAAGUGUUGGGAGUCAAAUUU
rnacentral:rRNA from 1 species